ACGGGAGGCAGCAGUGGGGAAUAUUGCACAAUGGGCGAAAGCCUGAUGCAGCAACGCCGCGUGGGGGAUGACGGCCUUCGGGUUGUAAACCUCUUUUAGUAGGGAAGAAGGGCUUCGGCUUGACGGUACCUGCAGAAAAAGCACCGGCUAACUACGUGCCAGCAGCCGCGGUAAUACGUAGGGUGCAAGCGUUGUCCGGAAUUAUUGGGCGUAAAGAGCUCGUAGGCGGUUUGUCGCGUCUGCUGUGAAAACCCGAGGCUCAACCUCGGGCCUGCAGUGGGUACGGGCAGACUAGAGUGCGGUAGGGGAGAAUGGAAUUCCUGGUGUAGCGGUGGAAUGCGCAGAUAUCAGGAGGAACACCGAUGGCGAAGGCAGUUCUCUGGGCCGUUACUGACGCUGAGGAGCGAAAGCGUGGGGAGCGAACAGGAUUAGAUACCCUGGUA
rnacentral:rRNA from 1 species